AAUGACAUGUUGUUGUUAGCUUCUCGCUAAACAAAAUUGUUGACGUGGUAAGUUGGAUGGACAGAAUUUUAUUUUAGACCAGGGAUUAGUCCGAGCGUAUAUAUUGACGAUUGAUAUAUAUAAAUUACUUCACUCAAUUUAAAAUUCAGUUUAAGCUUGUUGAGUAUAUAUAUAGAGAUAUUAAUUUAUUUAAUAAUUAAAAUUUUCUAAUAUUUUCCUUUUUGAAUUAUUAUUUUUGUUAAUUUCGGUUAAAUUUGGUUAAUUUUAGUUAUUUUGAAAGAAAAAAAAAAACACAACGAAUAUGAUAAUAUUUUGGUUAGUUACGGUUUUCAUUUAUUUAAGUUUUAAUCUUUACCCAUUGCACAUUGCACCUUAAAUAAAUAAAAUCCCUACCCAUUGAACAUGCUCUAAAAUGAGUUAUCGACCGUCAUGUUAUCGAUACACAGAAGGGUUAUGUUGUAGGAGAUUUUUCAGAUUGUGGUUUGACCUGUAUGUAUUUGACAUGAACGUUUGUCUUGCAAAAAAAAAAAAUUAA
rnacentral:sRNA from 1 species